rnacentral:lncRNA from 1 species
AAAGCGGUUUCGGACGGGGUGGCUUAUUUCAUUCCACACUGCACAGAUGCACUGAAGUCUGUCAAGUAUGCAACGGAUGCAUGUCACAGUUGUUUACGGCCAUGCAGUGUCUGAGCGCUCUUUCCCAUUAAGGCACCAAGUUUCAGGCAGCAGUCCACUGGUUAUUUCUGCCCUCUCAAAGCAUCCUGCAGUCACUCAUCUCUAGUCCUGUACUUCACCUAUCAAUAAAAGGAAUUUGAAAUCUUUCAACACAGAGAUAUUAUUUCUGCUUCAACUUAUUUCAGGAUGCCACGGUUCAAAAUAAAAAUCCACAGACUGCUGAUGGCUCUGUCAAUAUCAGUCAGCUGCUAACAACACUUUAUUGGAGGUGCUUCAAGGUAGAGUGUAGGCACCUGAAACCAUCAAUAAAUGGAGAGAAAGUCCUGGGG